rnacentral:rRNA from 1 species
GAGUUUGAUCAUGGCUCAGGAUGAACGCUAGCGACAGGCCUAACACAUGCAAGUCGAGGGGCAGCACAAGGUAGCAAUACUGAGGUGGCGACCGGCGCACGGGUGAGUAACGCGUAUGCAACCUGCCUGUAACAGGGGAAUAGCCUCUUGAAAGAGAGAUUAAUGCCGCAUAAUACGAGAUUCGGGCAUCCGGAUUUAGUUAAACAUUUAUGGGUUACAGAUGGGCAUGCGUUUCAUUAGGUAGUUGGUGAGGUAACGGCUCACCAAGCCGACGAUGAGUAGGGGUUCUGAGAGGAAGGUCCCCCACACUGGUACUGAGACACGGACCAGACUCCUACGGGAGGCAGCAGUGAGGAAUAUUGGUCAAUGGACGCAAGUCUGAACCAGCCAAGUCGCGUGAAGGAUGAAGGUAUUAUGUAUUGUAAACUUCUUUUGUCAGGGAAUAAUGGGUGUCACGUGUGACGCAGAGGAAUGUACCUGACGAAUAAGCAUCGGCUAACUCCGUGCCAGCAGCCGCGGUAAUACGGAGGAUGCGAGCGUUAUCCGGAUUUAUUGGGUUUAAAGGGUGCGUAGGCGGUUUGUUAAGUCAGUGGUGAAAGUUUGCGGCUCAACCGUAAAAUUGCCAUUGAAACUGGCGAACUUGAGUACAGUAGAGGUAGGCGGAAUUCGUGGUGUAGCGGUGAAAUGCUUAGAUAUCACGAAGAACUCCGAUUGCGAAGGCAGCUUGCUGGACUGUAACUGACGCUGAGGCACGAAAGCGUGGGGAUCAAACAGGAUUAGAUACCCUGGUAGUCCACGCCGUAAACGAUGAAUGCUAGCUGUUAGCGAUAUACUGUUAGCGGCACAGA